UGACGGGGGCCCGCACAAGCGGUGGAGCAUGUGGUUUAAUUCGAUGCAACGCGAAGAACCUUACCUGGUCUUGACAUCCACGGAAGUUUUCAGAGAUGAGAAUGUGCCUUCGGGAACCGUGAGACAGGUGCUGCAUGGCUGUCGUCAGCUCGUGUUGUGAAAUGUUGGGUUAAGUCCCGCAACGAGCGCAACCCUUAUCCUUUGUUGCCAGCGGUCCGGCCGGGAACUCAAAGGAGACUGCCAGUGAUAAACUGGAGGAAGGUGGGGAUGACGUCAAGUCAUCAUGGCCCUUACGACCAGGGCUACACACGUGCUACAAUGGCGCAUACAAAGAGAAGCGACCUCGCGAGAGCAAGCGGACCUCAUAAAGUGCGUCGUAGUCCGGAUUGGAGUCUGCAACUCGACUCCAUGAAGUCGGAAUCGCUAGUAAUCGUGGAUCAGAAUGCCACGGUGAAUACGUUCCCGGGCCUUGUACACACCGCCCGUCACACCAUGGGAGUGGGUUGCAAAAGAAGUAGGUAGCUUAACCUUCGGGAGGGCGCUUACCACUUUGUGAUUCAUGACUGGGGUGAAGUCGUAACAAGGUAACCGUAGGGGAACCUGCGGUUGGAUCAC
rnacentral:rRNA from 1 species